GGUGGGAUACUACCCUGGCUGUAUUGAAAUUCUAACCCGCACCCCUGAUCGGGGUGGGAGACAGUGUCAGGUGGGCAGUUUGACUGGGGCGGUCGCCUCCUAAAAAGUAACGGAGGCGCCCAAAGGUUCCCUCAGAAUGGUUGGAAAUCAUUCGAAGAGUGUAAAGGCAUAAGGGAGCUUGACUGCGAGACCUACAAGUCGAGCAGGGACGAAAGUCGGGCUUAGUGAUCCGGUGGUUCCGCAUGGAAGGGCCAUCGCUCAACGGAUAAAAGCUACCCCGGGGAUAACAGGCUUAUCUCCCCCAAGAGUCCACAUCGACGGGGAGGUUUGGCACCUCGAUGUCGGCUCAUCGCAUCCUGGGGCUGUAGUCGGUCCCAAGGGUUGGGCUGUUCGCCCAUUAAAGCGGUACGCGAGCUGGGUUCAGAACGUCGUGAGACAGUUCGGUCCCUAUCCGUCGUGGGCGCAGGAAAUUUGAGAGGAGCUGUCCUUAGUACGAGAGGACCGGGAUGGACGCACCGCUGGUGUACCAGUUGUUCUGCCAAGAGCAUCGCUGGGUAGCUAUGUGCGGAAGGGAUAAGUGCUGAAAGCAUCUAAGCAUGAAGCCCCCCUCGAGAUGAGAUUUCCCAUAGCGUCAAGCUAGUAAGACCCCUGAAAGAUGAUCAGGUUGAUAGGUUUGAGGUGGAAGCGUGGUGACACGUGGNNNNNNNNNNUGCGGAAGGGAUAAGUGCUGAAAGCAUCUAAGCAUGAAGCCCCCCUCGAGAUGAGAUUUCCCAUAGCGUCAAGCUAGUAAGACCCCUGAAAGAUGAUCAGGUUGAUAGGUUUGAGGUGGAAGCGUGGCGACACGUGGAGCUGACAAAUACUAAUCGGUCGAGGACUUAACCAA
rnacentral:rRNA from 1 species